rnacentral:rRNA from 1 species
GACGAACGCUGGCGGCACGCUUAACACAUGCAAGUCGAACGAGAUCCUCGGAGCUUGCUCCGAGGGGACAGUGGCGAACGGGUGAGUAACACGUGAGGAACCUGCCCCGAAGACCGGAAUAACACCGGGAAACCGGUGCUAAUACCGGAUGCCCUCACCGGAUCGCAUGGUCCGGUGAGGAAAUGGAUUCCGCUUCGGGAUGGCCUCGCGGCCUAUCAGCUUGUUGGUGGGGUAACGGCCUACCAAGGCUUCGACGGGUAGCUGGUCUGAGAGGAUGUCCAGCCACACUGGGACUGAGACACGGCCCAGACUCCUACGGGAGGCAGCAGUGGGGAAUCUUGCGCAAUGGACGAAAGUCUGACGCAGCGAUGCCGCGUGCGGGAUGAAGGCCCUCGGGUUGUAAACCGCUUUCAGCAGGGACGAAAUUGACGGUACCUGCAGAAGAAGCCCCGGCCAACUACGUGCCAGCAGCCGCGGUAAUACGUAGGGGGCGAGCGUUG